AAUAGAUACCCGGGUAGUCCACGCCGUAAACGAUGAGUGCUAAGUGUUAGGGGGUUUCCGCCCCUUAGUGCUGCAGCUAACGCAUUAAGCACUCCGCCUGGGGAGUACGGUCGCAAGACUGAAACUCAAAGGAAUUGACGGGGGCCCGCACAAGCGGUGGAGCAUGUGGUUUAAUUCGAAGCAACGCGAAGAACCUUACCAGGUCUUGACAUCCCACUGACCGCUAUGGAGACAUAGUUUUCCCUUCGGGGACAGUGGUGACAGGUGGUGCAUGGUUGUCGUCAGCUCGUGUCGUGAGAUGUUGGGUUAAGUCCCGCAACGAGCGCAACCCUUGAUCUUAGUUGCCAUCAUUUAGUUGGGCACUCUAAGGUGACUGCCGGUGACAAACCGGAGGAAGGUGGGGAUGACGUCAAAUCAUCAUGCCCCUUAUGACCUGGGCUACACACGUGCUACAAUGGACGGUACAAACGGUUGCCAACCCGCGAGGGGGAGCUAAUCCGAUAAAACCGUUCUCAGUCCGGAUUGUAGGCUGCAACUCGCCUAC
rnacentral:rRNA from 1 species